rnacentral:rRNA from 1 species
AGUGAACGCUGGCGGUAGGCCUAACACAUGCAAGUCGAACGGCAGCACAGUAAGAGCUUGCUCUUACGGUUGGCGAGUGGCGGACGGGUGAGGAAUACAUCGGAAUCUACUUUUUCGUGGGGGAUAACGUAGGGAAACUUACGCUAAUACCGCAUAUGACCUACGGGUGAAAGCAGGGGAUCUUCGGACCUUGCGCGAUUGAAUGAGCCGAUGUCGGAUUAGCUAGUUGGCGGGGUAAAGGCCCACCAAGGCGACGAUCCGUAGCUGGUCUGAGAGGAUGAUCAGCCACACUGGAACUGAGACACGGUCCAGACUCCUACGGGAGGCAGCAGUGGGGAAUAUUGGGCAAUGGGCGCAAGCCUGAUCCAGCCAUGCCGCGUGAGUGAAGAAGGCCUUCGGGUUGUAAAGCCCUUUUGUUGGGAAAGAAAAGCAGCAGGUUAAUACCCCGCUGUUCUGACGGUACCCAAAGAAUAAGCACCGGCUAACUUCGUG